GCAUGGGUGGGGUAUUGGAAACCCACAGCCUGUCGAUAUGAAAUAUGCCGGAAUGACGCUGAGCUCGGGGUUCGAGUCCCCGCCGAUGCA